GAUCUGCUAGUGAAAACUGGCAGUUACGUCCGAUAGGUCUGGGUUACGAGGACAUCGAUUGCCUUACGAGUCGUGAAACGCGAUGCGCGCGGGUCUUUGUGUGCAUGCGCGCGCGCAAAUUGUUCCUCGUGGUUUCUACUUCGCAAUGUCAGCCGGAGGCGGAUCGACGACGAGGUCGCGUCGAACAGCCGGUUCGAACCUUUUUCUAAAACCGGUACGCGAAGGCGUAUUCGUCUCUAGCUGCGGUGUGGCCAUCGUGUAAUUCGAUAGAAUUCGGAAACGCUGCGACAAGUUGAGCGUUAAUCGAAUGUCGCAAAAAAGAUUUUCCAGAUAUCUGACCGAGUGCGGACACUUAGGACUUGGGACUCGCUCCCGGCGACGAGAAACGUUAAACGAAGAUUGCAGCAUCUACGCUUCGAGUUCUUUCUUCAGCCAAUGAAGUUGCGUCAUUUUAUUGGGUAAAGAACGCGCGGAGGAAUUUUUUCACGUGUGUUUUGUUACCUUCGACCUGGAUUCGAACGAGAGAUGCCAAGGGUCGACGAAGGAGGAAAAGCCUGAGUACCACUGAUCUAACGAUUAUCGUGGAGUCGCGGACACAUCGCCGAUGUAUAGCGUAAGUAUGCAUACAGCGCGCUUUCUUCGAGAUGCGGCUACCAAAAUCAACCGUCUUCGUUUUGUCUCUCGCUCACGCUUUCGCUCUCGCUCUUACUCUCACUCUCGUUCUCGCUCCGCGUUCUCGCGUUCGCUCGUCUGUCAGAUCCUCGCGUUUGCUUAUCGUUAUCGACACCGCUUUCUUUCGUUCGGUGAAUAUCGGUCUUGGUGGAACCUGAAUUUUGCACAUUCUCAAAGGUAUGUUUAUAUCGCGUGCACGCGUCACGAACUCCCUUUUGCAAAAUAAAGCAACUAAACCGUAACUAAGGUAACAGCUCCAUGCGUGGCGAACGUGGAGGCCGCGUAGUAUCGAACCGAAUUCGAUCUCAGCCUUUGCGAAUUCCUCGUGCUGCGACUUGUAACUUUCCCACCGUUUUUCGUUACAUCGACGUCGAAUUUGUACGAACGACAUAGCCGUUAAAAGGAAGAAAAAGCGAAUCGAUAUACUCGCGUUUCGUUUAAAGUUGCGUGCAAGUUUUAACGUAAAUAGUCUCGCUCGGUGUAGACUAUAGUCACGGGCAACAUCGGUCAUUCCGCACACGAAACGUGGCUUUCUUCUUCGCGGUGCAAUGAAUUUGUAUCUCUCCUUCCAAGUUCCAUGCGUUUUCUACCGUGUGAAAAUGCAACGCGUGCUCGUAAACGUCGCUGCAUUCGCUGGUCUUCGUUCUAAACAUCGAUCGACUCGAGCGAUUCCUAUCGAGAGGAGUUUGCGAAUAUCGCGGACGAUGCUCCGUGUGUUUGUCACCACGACGCUUUCUCCCCAGAGUUUGCUCGUGGUGGCGCGAACCGCGGACGAUCGGGUUGAAAUUUUCGAUGAGAAAAGAAAAAGAAAAAAAAAAAAGAAAAAAUAAAAAAAGA